rnacentral:tRNA from 1 species
GAUCCCGUAGCUCAGUUGGAUAGAGCGGCGGUUUCCUAAACCGCAGGCCACAGGUUCGAUUCCUGUCGGGAUCA